rnacentral:rRNA from 1 species
GGAGCGACACCGCGUGAAGGAUGAAGGUCUUCGGAUUGUAAACUUCUUUAGACCUAGAUGAAGGCAACCGGGUGAAUAAUCCGGUUGUUUGACAGUAUAGGUAGAAUAAGCCACGGCUAACUCUGUGCCAGCAGCCGCGGUAAUACAGAGGUGGCAAACGUUGUCCGGAUUUAUUGGGUGUAAAGGGCAUGUAGGCGGCUUCGUAAGUCAAAGGUGAAAUGGCCCGGCUCAACCAGGUCAUUGCCUUUGAAACUGCGGGGCUCGAGUACGGAAGAGGAAAGCGGAAUUCCCAGUGUAGCGGUGAAAUGCGUAGAUAUUGGGAGGAACACCGGUGGCGAAGGCGGCUUUCUGGUCCGAAACUGACGCUGAGAUGCGAAAGCCAGGGGAGCAAACGGGAUUAGAUACCCCGGUAGUCCUGGCCCGUAAACGAUGAGUACUAGGUGUUAGAGGUAUCCACUCCUCUAGUGCCGCAGCUAACGCAUUAAGUACUCCACCUGGGGACUACGACCGCAAGGUUGAAACUCAAAGAAAUUGACGGGGGCCCGCACAAGCAGUGGAACAUGUGGUUCAAUUCGACGCAACGCGAAGAACCUUACCUGGGUUUGACAUCCUCUGACCGCCUAUGAAAGUAGGU